rnacentral:rRNA from 1 species
AUUGAACGCUGGCGGCAUGCUUUACACAUGCAAGUCGAACGGCAGCGCGGGCUUCGGCCUGGCGGCGAGUGGCGAACGGGUGAGUAAUGCAUCGGAACGUGCCCAGUAGUGGGGGAUAGCCCGGCGAAAGCCGGAUUAAUACCGCAUACGACCUGAGGGUGAAAGCGGGGGACCGAAAGGCCUCGCGCUCUUGGAGCGGCCGAUGUCGGAUUAGCUAGUUGGUGGGGUAAAGGCUUACCAAGGCGACGAUCCGUAGCUGGUCUGAGAGGACGACCAGCCACACUGGGACUGAGACACGGCCCAGACUCCUACGGGAGGCAGCAGUGGGGAAUUUUGGACAAUGGGGGCAACCCUGAUCCAGCCAUGCCGCGUGCGGGAAGAAGGCCUGCGGGUUGUAAACCGCUUUUGUUCGGGAAGAAAUCCUCUGGGCUAAUACCCCGGGGGGAUGACGGGACCGGAAGAAUAAGCACCGGCUAACUACGU